UGCAUCGGCCGGGAAUUGAACCUGGGGUGCCCGCGUGGCAGGCGAGCAUUCUACCACUGAGCCAAAAGC
rnacentral:tRNA from 1 species